GUUCCCCGUUCGGGGGACGAGGGUGACGAGGUGGUGCAUGGUUGUCGUCAGCUCGUGUCGUGAGAUGUUGGGUUAAGUCCCAUAACGAGCGCAACCCUUAUCGUUAGUUGCCAGCGGGUAAAGCCGGGAACUCUAGCGAAACUGCCGGUGUAAACCGAGAGGAAGGUGGGAUGACGUCAAAUCAGCACGGCCCUUACGUCCGGGGCGACACACGUGUUACAAUGGGGGGUACAGAGGGUCGCUACCUAGUGAUAGGAUGCUAAUCUCAUAAAGCCUCUCUCAGUUCGGAUCGGAGUCUGCAACUCGACUCCGUGAAGCUGGAUUCGCUAGCAAUCGCGCAUCAGCCAUGGCGCGGUGAAUACGUUCCCGGGCCUU
rnacentral:rRNA from 1 species